UGCAGCUGAGUCAAAUUCGGUCCUCGCCUGCCCCGUGCUGAGGACCGGCCAAACAGCUGCCACAGCAACACCUGUAGCUCACGAGCCCCGCUGUCCCUGUGCCUGGACACGGGGGGUAAACGCUGCGGACACGG
rnacentral:snoRNA from 1 species